rnacentral:rRNA from 1 species
AUUGAACGCUGGCGGCAGGCCUAACACAUGCAAGUCGAGCGAGCGGCGGACGGGUGAGUAAUGUCUGGGAAACUGCCUGAUGGAGGGGGAUAACUACUGGAAACGGUAGCUAAUACCGCAUACCAUCAGCUGUGCCCAGGUGGGAUUAGCUAGUAGGUGGGGUAACGGCUCACAUAGGCGACGAUCCCUACCUGGUCUGAGAGGAUGCCCAGGCAAGCUGGAACUGUGACACGGUGCAGACUCGUACGGUAGGCGGCAGGGGGGAAGAUUGCACAGUGGGCGAAGGCCUGCUGCAGCCAUGCCGCGUGUGUUGAGAAGGCCUUCGGGUUUUAAAGCACUUUCAGCGUUGCGGCGUUACCCGUUGAAGAAGCACCGGCUAACUCCGUGCCAGCAGCCGCGGUAAUAC